rnacentral:rRNA from 1 species
UACGUGGGGUGCAAGCGUUAAUCGGAAUUACUGGGCGUAAAGCGUGCGCAGGCGGUGAUGUAAGACAGGUGUGAAAUCCCCGGGCUUAACCUGGGAACUGCAUUUGUGACUGCAUCGCUGGAGUGCGGCAGAGGGGGGAUGGAAUUCCGCGUGUAGCAGUGAAAUGCGUAGAUAUGCGGAGGAACACCGAUGGCGAGGGCAAUCCCCUGGGCCUGCACUGACGCUCAUGCACGAAAGCGUGGGGAGCAAACAGG